UUCAUCAGAAAAACUCCUGAAAAUUGUGGGGAUGCGUCAGAGACUUUGCAAUGUAUGGCUCAUCGUUUUCAUUAUUUCGAGAAGAAAUUGACCCCCACCCCGCGAACGAACAGACAUUUUUUUCUAGUAAAAUAACCGCCAGAAUUUGGGCUCAGUCUGCUGAGCUUCUCAAUUUUUUUUGCCAUUCAAAUUCAGGUUAUUAUUAGAAGAUGCUUGGGUCACUACCUAUAAUAAUGAUUUGCUUCCUCUCUGGCAAUCUCUUGCUCCUUCACAUCAUCCAUUCCAAUGGCGGUUUUCUAUCUGGGUUGAUAAGCCUACACCGGGUAAUGCUCUAAUGAAUCUGAGGUAUAAAGAUGAACGUGCGGUUGAAGUGAGAGGAAAAGUUCGAACAGGAUUGUAGGGACCUGGUCCUACUGUUGCACAGAAGAUAUGGUACUUUGUCGCUGCUGUUGGUGGACAAUAUAUGUUGGCUCGUCUUCAAUCAUUUUCUGCGUUUCGAAGAUGGGGCGACUCUGAGCAGAGCUCUUUGGCACACUGAGCAUGGUUGUUAAUACAACGGAUGGAAGGGAUCUAUAAAGCAGCAGCUUUCAGUAAUCUAAUUCUGUUUUUUUAUACAGGAAGGAAUUGUUGCUCUGCUUCUUCCCCUUCUCAAUUCAUCAUUAGUCAAGAAUUUUCUUCGUCCGUUCUCAAAGGACAAAACUUCAGAUUCUUCAGUGGAUGACACUUUGUGCCGAAUCUACCAAAGAAAGCCAACAAUUCCAUUUUUAGCUAUCCCUUGUCUACACAGCUACUGUUACUACUGUCUUCAAACACGACGCUCUGCUGCUCCAUCCUUUCGUUGCCCCUGAUGUGGCGAACCGAUUGCUGCUAUGCAACGACAUGGUGGUUCAGUCAACAACAUUAGUCAGAUACAAUAAUUCGCAUGAAAGAUGAAGUGAAAUGACAGGAAGGGAAAGCUUCAGUCAAACUAUGGAUCAAAAGUUGCCCAAAGAUAACACAGAAAUUGAGUUAGGAAUCAAGAUUCCUUGAUAAAGCAACUUGUUUGCUUUAUUGAGUGCAUUCAUUUGUAAAAGUUUCUUGUCUUUUUUAAUGUAGCCUUUCUUUUCUAUAAUCCCAUCUAUAUGUUUAUUUUAAAGAUUCUCUUAAAAGUUUGAUCAGUCACAGGUCAUAAUUGAUUCAAUUUUUUUUUUUUUUUAUCAGAUGGCUCAAUCAGCCCUAUUUUAGCUUUGUUCAGGGUAACUUCCUAGUAGGAAGAAACGGUGAAAAAGAAAGGUUAGAACAAUCCUUCAUUUAUUGUUUCACAUUGCUAACUAGUGUGCUGUGUUUCAUUGAAUCUGCAUGUAGAGUUGCCAAGUGAUGUGCAGGUUAUAAUACUUUUUAAGAAUUGGUAGCUAAAUUUACCAGUUGCUGUUACUGUAGCAAAAGUUAGUAGCCGUUGAAGUUUUUGAGCAACAAAAGUUCACCAUAACUUGUGAUUUCGUGGGGACUUGUAUUCCACUAAUCCUUAUCUUUUUGUUUCUUUGGCCUCCUCUUUCCAUGGGCUUUAUAGGUGAACGAAUUGUAGGAAUUACGCCUAAUGAUCUUGAAAAUAAUGAGUGGUCUUGAACUUUUGACCCCGCUUAUCCCAUUGGCAAACCUUCAAGAUCAAGUCAAACUUGUUAAACCUGAAGUUUUGCCCUCGGGAAAGCAAGGUCAAAAGUCCAAGACCGCCUACUUCCGAGGCUGUAAAUCACCCAAAUAAAUUGCAUUGAAGGUAGACCUCUCCCUUUCAGCUUAAAGUUCCCUUUUCUUCCUUUUUUUGGUUGGGUCUACAAGGUCAAAAAAGCUCAAAUAAGAACAACACUUGCCCUUGAAUAUAUGUAUAUAUUGCAGUCUGAAUUGGUACUUUAAGACUCAUGAUUGGAUCUUAAUUUGUCUUACAUGCUAUUGUUACUAGGACCAAUAUCUAAAUCAGUCGUUAGUUUUUGUAAUAAAUCAAUUUAAAUGGCUAUGUUGUAGUAUUAGCUAGGUGGUCUUUCAUAUGAACCCCUGAGCAACCAACUGAGAAUGUGUCACGACCCGAACCGAGGCCCUGGUCGUAACGAGCAUCCCUAACCAUGAAGGCCCGGGUGCCCCUUUCUUUCUGGCAAUCAUACACAACUUUCAUAUACUUUAACAAAUGCGGAAGUAAGCAAUAAAGAUGGUAACAUGGUCAAAUCACUUAGUUCAGCGGAAUAAUACGAAACUUGAGUUCAAAACAUUCAACAAAAUAUUUGACACCAGUCUGUGAAAUUUCUAACACUGUGAAAGUCAACAUCUGUCUAAAGACUGGGACAAGGCCCCCAGUCAAACUGUAAAACAAGAGAAAUAACAAAGUUUAAUGAUCAAGCCUUUCGGAAUAGAGAAGGCUCACCAACUGCAACUUCUGACCUACAAAUCUACUGUUGAACGGGACCCCGAGACUGUGUCUCAGAUCCUGAAAUAUAGGGGGGUCAAUACCGAUGUAUUGGUAUGUGAAACAAUUCAAAAUAACAUGUUUAUACAAAAAUAGAUGUGAGCAUUUCAUAAUAACAGUGAACAUAAUAUAAGUAGAAAUACAUGGGCAUAUUUAAUAAACUUCAAAUCAAUUCUUGACAGCGUUGACUCACUCUUUGUUAUUCUUCUGAGCUAGUCGGUACACCCUACAAAUUUGAAAUUUCACGGGCUAUGUGGAACCUGCCCUUGACUCGGCGGCCGAGCCUCCAAUCCAAGUAGCCGCCAGGAUUUGGAGCUGGUGAUACCCCAUGUGAGCAUACCACAGGAAUCCCCCCAUGUGAGAUGUCCUAAUUAUUUUAUUAUCCUCCCAUGUAGGAUACAAUAUCAUAUGACCCACAUCGGCAACUACGGUUUCCAGCGAUGAGCCCUUACACUCAAGCGCCUUCUUCGGGUAACCUACUAGCUCUCUUAAGCCCAACUUUUAGUUCUUUAAAGUAGACAUGUUCAUACUUUCAAAACAUUCGAUACUUAUCUUGUUAAGGGCAUGUAAUCACCGGGUAUCGUCAUACCGUGACUUGCAAGUCAAUCAAAUCACACCAUAUCAAUCUGUAGCCCUUUUCACUUAUUAUCAUAUUAGUGACCACCCUAACUUUUAAACAUCAGAUGAGAGAGAGUUAUGCAAUAAAUCUUUCAUUCAAAAUCUUCAUCAAAACAUUCUCCUCCCAAUUGCAGAAUCAAUAGGUGGACACCCCAUAUUUGUAAUUUUCUUACAAUCCAAGGAAGUUGUUAAUUUGACACAAUGAGCAUUUAUCAUGUGAAAACAUAUACUCAACAUGUCAUAAACAGUACCAAAUCAUGAUCAUUUAACAAUAAUUCACCCAUUAAUUUUUCAUUUAGAAAGUUCAUGCCUUUAAACAACCCAUAACAAUCUAAAUCGACAAUAUCAUGAUAAAAAAGGGAGUUUUGAUCAUUCAUGCUCUCAUUCAAACUAUACAAAACAUACGAAAUUAGAUAUACAUAGUUAUAGUUCAAAUUUCAUAAAAAGUGGUUCAAGGCAACAUAUAUUUUUCAUCAAAACAAUCCCAUGAUGCCUAUUUUUCGAAAACAAUAUCGAACAAUUCAUUAUGAAACAUAAUUGGGGAUCUUUAAUCUUGAUAAAACGUUUAAACUUACGCCCGUGGUUUUUAGAGUAGUCCCACAUACCUUAGAUUAUAAGAUUUGAAAGAUGGAACCCGAAUCUUGAUCUGUUUUCUUGAAAUCUUGAACGUAAGGAUUGGUUCUUGAUUUCUUGUUCUUGGAGGUGUCUAGGGUUUUUAGUUUUGAGAGAAAUUGAACAAAAGAGGCAA